UAGGCACACAAACCCAAAGGUCGUUGAUUUGAAAUGUGCGAUGACCUACGCUACAUGUGCGCAAAGCAAUAAAAACCUUGUCGCCUUCUAUCCGCUCCACAUGCCUAUAGAAGUGAAUUCAAGGUCUGACAUUC